GACGAACGCUGGCGGCGUGCCUAAUACAUGCAAGUAGAACGCUGAAGGAGGAGCUUGCUUCUCUGGAUGAGUUGCGAACGGGUGAGUAACGCGUAGGUAACCUGCCUGGUAGCGGGGGAUAACUAUUGGGAACGAUAGCUAAUACCGCAUAACAGUAGAUAUCGCAUGAUAUCUACUUGAAAGGUGCAAUUGCAUCACUACCAGAUGGACCUGCGUUGUAUUAGCUAGUUGGUGAGGUAACGGCUCACCAAGGCGACGAUACAUAGCCGACCUGAGAGGGUGAUCGGCCACACUGGGACUGAGACACGGCCCAGACUCCUACGGGAGGCAGCAGUAGGGAAUCUUCGGCAAUGGACGGAAGUCUGACCGAGCAACGCCGCGUGAGUGAAGAAGGGUUUCGGAUCGUAAAGCUCUGUUGUAAGAGAAGAACGAGUGUGAGAGUGGAAAGUUCACACUGUGACGGUAUCUUACCAGAAAGGGACGGCUAACUACGUG
rnacentral:rRNA from 1 species